rnacentral:rRNA from 1 species
UACGGGGGGGGCAAGCGUUGUUCGGAAUUACUGGGCGUAAAGGGCUCGUAGGCGGCCAACUAAGUCGGAUGUGAAAUCCCCAGGCUCAACUUGGGAACUGCAUCCGAUACUGGAUGGCUUGAAUUCGGGAGAGGGAUGCAGAAUUCCAGGUGUAGCGGUGAAAUGCGUAGAUAUCAGGAGGAACACCUGUGGUGUAGACAGCUUACUGGACCACUUCUGACGCUGAGACACGAAGCGUGGGUAGCAAACAGG